rnacentral:rRNA from 1 species
GAUGAACGCUGGCGGCGUGCCUAAUACAUGCAAGUCGAGCGAACGGACGAGAAGCUUGCUUUUCUGAUGUUAGCGGCGGACGGGUGAGUAACACGUGGAUAACCUACCUAUAAGACUGGGAUAACUUCGGGAAACCGGAGCUAAUACCGGAUAAUAUUUUGAACCGCAUGGUUCAAAAGUGAAAGACGGUCUUGCUGUCACUUAUAGAUGGAUCCGCGCUGCAUUAGCUAGUUGGUAAGGUAACGGCUUACCAAGGCAACGAUGCAUAGCCGACCUGAGAGGGUGAUCGGCCACACUGGAACUGAGACACGGUCCAGACUCCUGCGGGAGGCAGCAGUAGGGAAUCUUCCGCCAUGGGCGAAAGCCUGACGAAGCAACGCCGCGUGAGUGAUGAAGGUCUUCGGAUCGUAAAACUCUGUUAUUAGGGGAGACCAUAUGUGUAAGUAACUGUGCGCAUCUUGACGGUACCUAAUCAGAAAGCCACGGCUAACUACGUG